rnacentral:rRNA from 1 species
UACAGAGGUGGCAAACGUUGUUCGGAAUUACUGGGCGCAAAGGGCGCGUAGGCGGCCAUCUAAGUCAGACGUGAAAUCCCCCGGCUUAACCUGGGAACUGCGUCUGAUACUGGACGGCUUGAGUAUGGGAGAGGGAUGUAGAAUUCCGGGUGUAGCGGUGGAAUGCGUAGAGAUCCGGAGGAAGACCGGUGGCGAAGGCGGUCUGCUGGGCAGUUUCUGACACUGAUGCGCGACAGCGUGGGGAGCAAACAGG